AACGAACGCUGGCGGCAUGCCUAACACAUGCCAGUCGAACGAGCCCUUCGGGUCUAGUGGCGCACGGGUGCGUAACGCGUGGGAACCUGCCCUUAGGUUCGGAAUAACUCUCCGAAAGGGGUGCUAAUACCGGAUAAUGUCUUCGGACCAAAGAUUUAUCGCGUUUGGAUGGGCCCGCGUUGGAUUAGCUAGUUGGUAGGGUAAAAGCCUACCAAGGCGACGAUCCAUAGCUGGUCUGAGAGGAUGAUCAGCCACACUGGGACUGAGACACGGCCCAGACUCCUACGGGAGGCAGCAGUGGGGAAUAUUGGACAAUGGGCGAAAGCCUGAUCCAGCAAUGCCGCGUGAGUGAUGAAGGCCGGAGGGUUGUAAAGCUCUUUUACCCGGGAUGAUAAUGACAGUACCGGGAGAAUAAGCUCCGGCUAACUCCGUG
rnacentral:rRNA from 1 species